GGAACCACAUCGUCCGGCCACCGCCUCACAUCACCGCUACCACCAAUCGAAGCAGCACCUCAAUCCAACCUAAACCCAUAAGAGAUCGAAGCCAUGCAUCGACCCGGCCUCUCUCUUCCGCUAUCCUUCUCUCUGCCACCAUCGGAGACUCCAUCUCCGGCCACCAUCUCCCCACACCGUCUUCACCAAUCGACGCAGCAUCCAAAACCAACCCAAGCCCGAGCCUUAACGUCGAAAUACAUCGCCGGCAGCCUCUACCCGUGACCACCCAAGGCUGCGACACUGCUGCCACUCAACCUCCAUCAAUUUCUGGCCGCCUUUUCAAUACACCGUAGCCUCCUGUGAGCUCAGGGAGCGCCGACCAUCAAGCCCCCGACAUCCCAUCGCCAGAAGACAUCGAACACACAUCGCCGGAAACCGAGCUCUGCAUGCCUUCGUUCUCUAAUCUCCAACGCGAAUCGUGCUAAACCACCUCCAUGGUUGGAAUCAGCGUCUCACGUUUUCCAAAAGUCCAAACACCCGACCUCCGAUUCCGACCAGAGCCGCCACACGCGCCGCCGGCGCCGGCGCGUGAGAAACCUUGAUGCCGCCGUGAACUCUGCCGGCGUAGUCCUCUUGUUCUGGUAAGCCGUUUUCAAAGCCCCCUUUCGUUAUUUGGUUGAGUUUCAGUUCCAAAGUAGUGGAUUGCUGAUGUUCAAAUCUUUUGGUUGAUGUUCUUGAAUUCGGGACUUGGAGGAUGGGAAUUGAUAUGAGAGGGGAGCUUCUGGUCUUGGUAUCGAUUUCAGUUUUGGUGGGAUGGUGAAGAAUACAGAAGGACUGCAAGAAGCGGUACGUUAUGGAGUUUAUGGUUUCGGCAGAACUAAAAAUGGUUGUUGUUCUGUUGUGGAGAUGGAGACUUGAGGUUCUUGGAUUCCUGCAAUUUGGAGUAUCGGAGAAGAUGAGCUACAGGGGUAGCUUUGGUUGAAAUCGAAUAAGAGGUCCGAAUGGGUUGAUAGUGAUGGACUGCAGCAACUAGAAAUAGCCUCUGGCUGGGGAAAAGAAGAAUGGUAAGGGACUGUGUAUUUUGGAAACUGUUUGGCCGUGUACUGUUUGUACUGAUCAAAGUUAUGGUUUUAUUGAGUAUGCGUGAUAUAAAUUUGGUUAUGGUAAUUGAGUGAUUGGUUAUGUUGGAAAUGUCAUUGUUAUAAGGUGAAUGACUAAAUCAGUGAGCUCUUUAAAGAAGUUGUAAAUUGCAAGUUAAAUCGUUGUUGUGAAAGAAAAUGUUGAGCA